UACGAAGGGGGGCUAGCGUUGUUCGGAGUUACUGGGCGUAAAGGGUGUGUAGGCGGUUGGAUAAGUGUGGUGUGAAAUCUCCCGGCUCAACUGGGAGGGUGCGCUACAAACUGUCUGACUAGAGUGUGGGAUGGGAAAGUGGAAUUCCUGGUGUAGCGGUGAAAUGCGUAGAUAUCAGGAGGAACACCGGUGGUGUAGACGGCUUUCUGGACCAUAACUGACGCUGAGACACGAAAGCGUGGGUAGCAAACAGG
rnacentral:rRNA from 1 species